rnacentral:rRNA from 1 species
CCUACGAGUGGCAGCAGUGAGGAAUAUUGGUCAAUGGGCGCGAGCCUGAACCAGCCAAGUAGCGUGAAGGAUGACUGCCCUACGGGUUGUAAACUUCUUUUAUAAAGGAAUAAAGUGAGGCACGUGUGCCUUUUUGUAUGUACUUUAUGAAUAAGGAUCGGCUAACUCCGUGCCAGCAGCCGCGGUAAUACGGAGGAUCCGAGCGUUAUCCGGAUUUAUUGGGUUUAAAGGGAGCGUAGAUGGGUUGUUAAGUCAGUUGUGAAAGUUUGCGGCUCAACCGUAAAAUUGCAAUUGAUACUGGCAGUCUUGAGUACAGUUGAGGUAGGCGGAAUGCGUGGUGUAGCGGUGAAAUGCUUAGAUAUCACGAAGAACGCCGAUUGCGAAGGCAGCUUACUAAGCUGCAACUGACACUGAUGCUCGAAAGUGUGGGUAUCAAACAGGAUUAGAUACCCCAGUAGUC